AAACACUGGGAUGCCGGAGCUGAGGCAUCCCAGACAGGAGGAAGUGUGCACUCACACCAGACGGGGGGAAGUGUGUACUCACACCAGCCAGGAGGAAACAAGCCUGCCUGGGAGGACAGACGAUCAGCCCUGGCUAUCCCUUGGGCAGCGGGGGGCCUCCAAGUCACACUGCCCACUGGGUCAAGGAGUAUCCAGGAGGAGUUAGAAG
rnacentral:lncRNA from 1 species